UCCUUUUUACUCGUGUAUUUUUCAGGCACGAUUUCUUUAUCCAAAAGCUAGUGAGUAUUGGAUAUUGAAAUCAGUUGGAUUUAAAUGGAAGGAUUACAAGUGUUACUUGAAAGGAAAAUAUUAUAAUGACGAUGAAGACAUUACCAUUUUGCAUAAUCGGUGUCCAACGGAUGUAGAUAAUAAUCAGUGGAUUAGCCUUGUUAAUUUCUGGAGAUCCGAUGAGGGACAGAAGAGAAGCAAACGGGAAAAGAAUCACUUGCAAAGGCUAAAGCAAAGCCAAUCUCUACAACUGGUACAAAGAGUCAUGCUCGAGUUCGUGAAGAAUUGAAACAAAAGCUGAAUAGGAGUCCAACAAGAACUGAACUUUAUUUAGAGUGUCACCAACAUGAAAAUGAAGCAGAAAUAACGAAUCAAAUUAAGAACAUUGUUGCUGAACAAGGGGAUCAAUCAGUUAACUUAGAUAAUGAUCCUGUUUCAAAGGUAUUGGGCAAGGAUAAAUAUGGUCGCGUUCGUGGUUUAGGAUUGUUAGGUGUUAAGCCAUCAAAUUUUGUAGAACCUUCUGUUCCUUCCUAUUGUAAAGGCCUAAAGAUGUCCUCUAAAGAUGAAGGAGCAAUAUUGUAUUAUCUACGCGAACUAAGGAGGUGUGUUAAAAAUCAGGGGGCAACAAUAUUGAAGCUGAGAAGGAAGCUCCAAGAGCAUUUAGGUUCAGACUUUGAUGAUUCUGAAUUUGAUGACUUAAGUGAUGACUUAACUGAAUCUGGUUCAGAUGGUACUGAUUCAAACCAAGAAGAAGAUUUUGACAUCCCUACUAUUGAUAAGGCUGUUAAUAAAGCUUCAUCUUCCGGAAAUGACAACUCUCAUUAAUUAUUUAAUUCGCUAGUUGAAUUUUUGUCGAAAGAUUAAUUUUGGAUGCACCAAAACGAAAAAGUGAAUGUUGAAGAUUUGAGGACAUUGGAACUUCGUUUGGGCACAAGAAUGAAGAUAUAUUAAGUUUUGUUAUUAUUUAGUUGGAUUAUAAAUUUUAACAUUUGUUGUUCUACAUACAUUAGGUUGUGCCUUGAGUUUGUCAAAAUGAGUUAUACUUUUUGGUUAUUUUUAGUUUGAAGAUUUUAUAUAGAGUAUUAAACGAUUAAUUUUUUUCAUUAAUCAAUAUAUUAUAUUUUGGUUCA